rnacentral:rRNA from 1 species
UGCAGUGUACCCGCGGCAAGACGGAAAGACCCCGUGAACCUUUACUAUAGCUUGACACUGAACAUUGAGCCUUGAUGUGUAGGAUAGGUGGGAGGCUUUGAAGCGUGGACGCCAGUCUGCGUGGAGCCGACCUUGAAAUACCACCCUUUAAUGUUUGAUGUUCUAACGUGGAUCCGUAAUCCGGGUUGCGGACAGUGUCUGGUGGGUAGUUUGACUGGGGCGGUCUCCUCCUAAAGAGUAACGGAGGAGCACGAAGGUUGGCUAAUCCUGGUCGGACAUCAGGAGGUUAGUGCAAUGGCAUAAGCCAGCUUGACUGCGAGCGUGACGGCGCGAGCAGGUGCGAAAGCAGGUCAUAGUGAUCCGGUGGUUCUGAAUGGAAGGGCCAUCGCUCAACGGAUAAAAGGUACUCCGGGGAUAACAGGCUGAUACCGCCCAAGAGUUCAUAUCGACGGCGGUGUUUGGCACCUCGAUGUCGGCUCAUCACAUCCUGGGGCUGAAGUAGGUCCCAAGGGUAUGGCUGUUCGCCAUUUAAAGUGGUACGCGAGCUGGGUUUAGAACGUCGUGAGACAGUUCGGUCCCUAUCUGCCGUGGGCGCUGGAGAACUGAGGGGGGCUGCUCCUAGUACGAGAGGACCGGAGUGGACGCAUCACUGGUGUUCGGGUUGUCAUGCCAAUGGCACUGCCCGGUAGCUAAAUGCGGAAGAGAUAAGUGCUGAAAGCAUCUAAGCACGAAACUUGCCCCGA